rnacentral:rRNA from 1 species
GACGAACGCUGGCGGCGUGCUUAACACAUGCAAGUCGAACGGAAAGGCCCUGCUUUUGUGGGGUGCUCGAGUGGCGAACGGGUGAGUAACACGUGAGUAACCUGCCCUUGUCUUUGUGAUAACUUCAGGAAACUGGGGCUAAUACCGGAUAGGAGCUCCUGCUGCAUGGUGGGGGUUGGAAAGUUUCGGCGGUUGGGGAUGUACUCGCGGCUUAUCAGCUUGUUGGUGGGGUAGUGGCUUACCAAGGCUUUGACGGGUAGCCGGCCUGAGAGGGUGACCGGCGACAAGGGGACUGAGAGACGGCGCAGACGCCUACGGGAGGCAGAGGUGGAGAACAUUGCACAAUGGGCGGAAGCCUGAUGCAGCAACGCCGGGUGCGGGAUGACGGCCUUCGGGUUGUAAACCGCUUUCGACGGUGACGAAGCGUGAGUGACGGUAAUGGGUAAAGAAGCACCGGCUAACUACGUG